UGCAGUCGAACGAGAUCUUCGGAUCUAGUGGCGGACGGGUUAGUAACGCGUGGGAACGUACCCUUCACUACGGAAUAGUCCCGGGAAACUGGGUUUAAUACCGUAUACGCCCUUCGGGGGAAAGAAUUUCGGUGAGGGAUCGGCCCGCGUUAGAUUAGUUAGUUGGUGGGGUAAUGGCCUACCAAGACUACGAUCUAUAGCUGGUUUGAGAGGAUGAUCAGCAACACUGGGACUGAGACACGGCCCAGACUCCUACGGGAGGCAGCAGUGGGGAAUCUUAGACAAUGGGGGCAACCCUGAUCUAGCGAUGCCGCGUGAGUGAUGAAGGCCUUAGGGUCGUAAAGCUCUUUCGCCUGUGAUGAUAAUGACAGUAGCAGGUAAAGAAACCCCGGCUAACUCCGUGCCAGCAGCCGCGGUAAUACGGAGGGGGUUAGCGUUGUUCGGAAUUACUGGGCGUAAAGCGCACGUAGGCGGAUUAGUCAGUCAGAGGUGAAAUCCCAGGGCUCAACCCUGGAACUGCCUUUGAUACUGCUAGUCUUGAGUUCGAGAGAGGUAAGUGGAAUUCCGAGUGUAGAGGUGAAAUUCGUAGAUAUUCGGAGGAACACCAGUGGCGAAGGCGGCUUACUGGCUCGAUACUGACGCUGAGGUGCGAAAGUGUGGGGAGCAAACAGGAUUAGAUACCCUGGUAGUCCACACCGUAAACGAUGAAUGCCAGUCGUCGGCAAGUAUACUUGUCGGUGACACACCUAACGGAUUAAGCAUUCCGCCUGGGGAGUACGG
rnacentral:rRNA from 1 species